rnacentral:rRNA from 1 species
CACGGGGGGAGCAAGCGUUGUUCGGAAUCACUGGGCGUAAAGGGCGCGUAGGCGGCCAGCGCAAGUCAGUUGUGAAAUCUCCGGGCUUAACUCGGAAAGGUCAACUGAUACUGCGCGGCUAGAGUGCAGAAGGGGCAACUGGAAUUCUCGGUGUAGCGGUGAAAUGCGUAGAUAUCGAGAGGAACACCUGCGGCGAAGGCGGGUUGCUGGGCUGACACUGACGCUGAUGCGCGAAAGCCAGGGGAGCGAACGGG